UGGGGAAUUUUGGACAAUGGGGGCAACCCUGAUCCAGCAAUGCCGCGUGAGUGAAGAAGGCCUUCGGGUUGUAAAGCUCUUUUGUCAGGGAAGAAACGGUUCUGGAUAAUACCUGGAGCUAAUGACGGUACCUGAAGAAUAAGCACCGGCUAACUACGUGCCAGCAGCCGCGGUAAUACGUAGGGUGCAAGCGUUAAUCGGAAUUACUGGGCGUAAAGCGUGCGCAGGCGGUUGUGUAAGUCAGAUGUGAAAUCCCCGGGCUCAACCUGGGAAUUGCAUUUGAGACUGCACGGCUAGAGUGUGUCAGAGGGGGGUAGAAUUCCACGUGUAGCAGUGAAAUGCGUAGAUAUGUGGAGGAAUACCGAUGGCGAAGGCAGCCCCCUGGGAUAACACUGACGCUCAUGCACGAAAGCGUGGGGAGCAAACA
rnacentral:rRNA from 1 species